GUUAGUCAUUAACUCCUGAUUCUUAAGGUUAGUCAUUAACUCCUGAUUCUUAAGGUUAGUCAUUAACUCCUGAUUCUUAAGGUUAGUCAUUAACUCCUGAUUCUUAAGGUUAGUCAUUAUUAACUCCUGAUUCUUAAGGUUAGUUAUUAACUCCUGAUUCUUAAGGUUAGUCAUUAUUAACUCCUGAUUCUUAAGGUUAGUCAUUAACUCCUGAUUCUUAAGGUUAGUCAUUAACUCCUGAUUCUUAAGGUUAGUCAUUAACUCCUGAUUCUUAAGGUUAGUCAUUAUUAACACCUGAUUCUUAAGGUUAGUCAUUAUUAACUCCUGAUUCUUAAGGUUAGUCAUUAACUCCUGAUUCUAAAGGUUAGUCAUUAACUCCUGAUUCUUAAGGUUAGUCAUUAACUCCUGAUUCUUAAGGUUAGUCAUUAACUUCUGAUUCUUAAGGUUAGUCAUUAUUAACACCUGAUUCUUAAGGUUAGUCAUUAUUAACUCCUGAUUCUUAAGGUUAGUCAUUAACUCCUGAUUCUAAAGGUUAGUCAUUAACUCCUGAUUCUUAAGGUUAGUCAUUAACUCCUGAUUCUUAAGGUUAGUCAUUAACUCCUGAUUCUAAAGGUUAGUCAUUAACUCCUGAUUCUUAAGGUUAGUCAUUAACUCCUGAUUCUAAAGGUUAGUCAUUAACUCCUGAUUCUUAAGGUUAGUCAUUAACUCCUAAGCCUACUUGAAGGUAACAGCUCUCACUGUUGCCCCUAGUGGCCAGUUUCCACAUCUUCUCCUCAGACAUGGGUGAACGUCCAAUACCAUUUUGAAUCGCCGGAAUGUUAAGGGUUCUGCUCUCCUCUGUUGCGACCAAAUGGAAUAAGCUACUGUGCAGUGUGUGUCUGUGUGUGCACUGUGUGUGUGUGUGUGCUGUGUUUGUUCGUGUGUGAGAGAGAAAGGGUGUGAGAGAGAAAGGGUGUGAGAGAGGGAGAGAGAGAGAGGGAGA
rnacentral:lncRNA from 1 species